rnacentral:rRNA from 1 species
GAUGAACGCUAGCGGCAGGCUUAACACAUGCAAGUCGAGGGGUAUAGUUCUUCGGAAUUAGAGACCGGCGCACGGGUGCGUAACGCGUAUGCAAUCUACCUUUCACAGAGGGAUAGCCCCAGAGAAAUUUGGAUUAAUACCUCAUAGUAUAGCAGUUUCGCAUGAAACCACUAUUAAAGUCACAACGGUGAAAGAUGAGCAUGCGUCCCAUUAGCUAGUUGGUAAGGUAACGGCUUACCAAGGCAACGAUGGGUAGGGGUCCUGAGAGGGAGAUCCCCCACACUGGUACUGAGACACGAACCAGACUCCUACGGGAGGCAGCAGUGAGGAAUAUUGGACAAUGGGCGCAAGCCUGAUCCAGCCAUGCCGCGUGCAGGAAUAAGGUCCUAUGGAUUGUAAACUGCUUUUAUACAGGAA